GACGAACGCUGGCGGCGUGCUUAACACAUGCAAGUCGAACGAUGAAGCUGGAGCUUGCUCCGGUGGAUUAGUGGCGAACGGGUGAGUAACACGUGAGCAAUCUGCCCUUCACUCCGGGAUAACUGCGGGAAACUGUAGCUAAUACCGGAUACGAGGCUUGGAGGCAUCUCCAGGUCUGGAAAGAAUUUCGGUGAAGGAUGAGCUCGCAGCCUAUCAGCUUGUUGGUGAGGUAAUGGCUCACCAAGGCGACGACGGGUAGCCGGCCUGAGAGGGUGACCGGCCACACUGGGACUGAGACACGGCCCAGACUCCUACGGGAGGCAGCAGUGGGGAAUAUUGCACAAUGGGCGAAAGCCUGAUGCAGCAACGCCGCGUGAGGGAUGAAGGCCUUCGGGUUGUAAACCUCUUUUAGCAGGGAAGAAGCGAAAGUGACGGUACCUGCAGAAAAAGCACCGGCUAACUACGUGCCAGCCGCCGCAGUAA
rnacentral:rRNA from 1 species